rnacentral:rRNA from 1 species
AUGAAGGGUGUGUCUGUUAUUAUUCAAACGAAGAUGGUGCUGUUCGAAGGGCUUAAAUUAGCACAAGGUACUGGAUGCAACAAUCUCCUAGUACGUAUGGACAAUCUGAUAGUGGUGGAAGCAUUGCAAAAUAAUGAAGGACACUCAACGGUGGCGGCCCCUAUCAUUCAAGAUUGUCGAGAGUUGAUGAUAGAGUUCGGGAAGUCUGUCAUAGAACAUUGUAUUGGAGAGUCUAAUAUAGUUCUGCAGGAGCUAGCUCAUUAUGGUUGUGCUAACAAUCCUACUCUUUGGGUGGUAACACUGCCUGAUUUUCUGUUAAGGUUUUUAGCGGAUGAUGUAAGCGUUAUAGGAGUUUAA